rnacentral:pre_miRNA from 2 species
UAAGCCUUGCUGGAGAAGCAGGGCACAUGCUUAGUUUAGUAUUAUGUAAUUUUCGAGCAUGUGCCCUGCUUCUCCAACAUGGAUUC